rnacentral:misc_RNA from 1 species
UCAAUCCUGAACCCAACUCCUUUCAUCUCUGCUCGUAAAAGCUACUGUGGCACUCUACUUUCAUCUCUCCCCCUAGAGUGGUAGUCUCCAACAAGAAUUCAACCAUUUUGCUCGCCAAAUUCAGUAAUGUUCGCUCUCUCAGCAUUGAGGUACCGCUUCAACUCCCUAACUAAAACCCUAACCGUUGUAAACCAAUCCCUCAAUCACCAUACCCAGUCUUCCAUUCUAGUUCCAAUUUUCAUUCUAUGUUCGCAUUUUUCCUCAAAGCAGCAAAGUAAUGACAGAAAUGAGGACAAGAACGAUGUUGUAUCGCUCUUCAACAGAGACCCAACCAGCCCCCCUCGGCUUUUCGUGGUCCAGCCUCGCCUCCGCCCCGAUACUUUCCUUCAAGCCAAGCUCAACGAGGCUCUCUGCCUCGCCAAUUCCCUCGAGGAACAGCGUGAGGGCUACUUUGAGACUGAUUUCUUCGACAAGGCGUUGCCUCCUCAUAUAGUCGUUCAAAACCCAAUACUCCGUUCCUCCAGAGCUCGCGCAGACACAUAUUUUGGUCCAGGGACAGUGGAAACCAUCAAAUGCCAUCUAUAUGCAUCGGAGUCCAAGGGUGAAGUGGAUGCUGUGUUUGUAAAUUCUAUUCUGAGUGGGAUUCAACAGCGAAAUUUGGAGCGUGCAUGGGGCAAACCUGUGUUGGACCGUGUUGGCCUUAUAAUAGAGAUUUUUAAUGCUCAUGCCCAUACGAAGGAGGCAAAGCUACAGUCUGAAUUGGCUGCGCUCAUGUAUAAGAAAAGUAGGCUUGUUCGCGUACGAGGCCCUGAUGGACGCUAUACAUUUGGGACAACUGGAGAAGCUGAAGUUGUUAGUGCCCGAGGGAGGGGAAGUGGAGGACGUGGCUUUAUUAGUGGUGCUGGAGAAACGGAACUCCAAUUGCAACGGCGAAGAAUAUUAGAAAGACGCAACCAUUUGUUAUCCCAAAUUGAAGAGGUACGUCGAACUCGAGCUUUACAACGUACUGCUCGCAAGAGGCAUGGUGGAUCACAUAAUAAAGGUUUAGCCACUGUUGCUGUUGUAGGGUACACAAACGCUGUAAGUGAUCAAAAUUUUAUCAAAGUUGCUCAUUUGCUGCUGCAAUAAUAAAAUACACAAUCUCUUGCACAAUUAUCUGUUUAUUUUCAAUUCGCAGGGAAAGUCUACAUUGGUCAGUGCCCUCUCAGAGGGUGAUCUUUAUAGUGAUUCUCGGUAUCUCUAUCCUCUUAAGCAACUGAUUUAGAUUUGGAAUUCCUAUUUAAAGCAGCUUUGAUAUUGAGAUUUAUCCUUUUCGCCUUAGUGCUUACUUGGAGUUCCUGUUCCUGCAGAUUGUUUGCAACACUGGAUCCAAGACUGAAAAGCGUUAUUCUUCCUUCAGGGUGAGAUUGUCAGUUUAAUUAUUUAUUUUAAUUUACCUAUGUUCCCUGUCAUGUUUUGGGACUUGAAUAAUUAAAGUUUUCUUGAAUGAAACAUAUUGUGGAAAUAUCACUUUUGCUCAGUUGAUCUGAUUUAACUAUAAUAUUCAGGAGGAAAGUGCUUCUUAGUGAUACCGUAGGAUUUAUAUCAGAUUUGCCUGUGCAGGUAACCGACAAACUGACAAGUAUGUGCAGUUGCUUUCUUUAUUUUUUUUUUAACCCAUAUGAUAACUCUUCUUUACCAUUUCUAUUUACUUUAAUAGUUAGUGGAAGCAUUUCAUGCAACCCUAGAAGAAGUAGUGGAAGCAGACCUUCUUGUGCAUGUGAUAGACUGCACUGCUCCUAAUCUCGAUGAACAUCGCACAACAGUGUUGCAAGUUCUUCAGCGAAUGGGAGUGUCAGAAGAGAAACUCCAGAAUAUGAUUGAAGUCUGGAAUAAGAUUGAUUAUGAAGAGGGAGACAUGGGUGAUGAUGAACCCUUAGAUGAUGGUGAUGAAGAUGAUAUUGCAUCUGAGUUAUCAUUAGGACUAGAAGAUGACAAGGCCAAUAGUUCUUUAGCAGUGGAAUGUAGUGAAGGGGAUUUUGAAGAGACGAUAGAUAACAUUCAAGACAAUUACUCCGAUGGCUGGCUGUUGUCAGGAGAUGACCAAGAGAACGUGGGUGACCAUUGGUUGAAGAGUCUGGAUGAUCAACGAGGUGAGACCUUAUAUAACUCGGGGACAGAAACAAAGUUGCAAUCUCAAGCUGGUCCCCAUGUCAAAAUAUCUGCUAUAACAGGAGUUGGCUUGCAAGAAUUGCUGGAACUCGUUGAUGAAAGGCUAAAGACUCAGGAUGAGACACUAAAGGCCCAGAAUGUAGUGGAAAGGGGUUUCUUUGAUAGAAAAUGGAGGCCUUCACGUGCAGAUGAUGCUGGCAUGGCAGUUGAACAGUAACAAACAUAUAUGGUCUGGUUAUCUUUGUUAUUGUUUCAGAUAUGUAAGCUAGAUGAAAAGUAUGAUGGAAUGAGUGUUGGUCUACUUCAGAGACUUGUCUCCUAGUGCUUAAACAUUUGUUCUGAUGAAGCAUGCAACUGUAUAGGAGAGAAAUAUGUCCUUGAAGGGACAUAGAAUUGUUGAUGCGUAUGAAGUUGAAAAGGCUACAGGGACGAAGGUUGCUGCAUUCAAGAUGAUGAUGCAGCCAAUCAUUCUGAGGAAGAAACAUAAGAGCACUGAUAUUUGUGGUGGAAGAAAAGGAUGAUGAUUGUUGUUGUAGGUGAAUGUAGUGUUCCUACCACUUUUGAGAUGAGUAUCUAUCUCAACAGUCAACACUUGAGUAUCUCAAUAAUCUGGAGAUUUCUGAUUCUUUCUCCCUGUUGUUUCAAUUUUCAAGCGCCAUAAGCUAGUCAGCCUAAAUUGGUAACUCGGGGAAUGUGGGAGGAAUGAUGUGGUUAUCUUUUUUGUGUUGGGAAGGAUAAAGUAAGAAUUUUGAACUCCAAAGUUUGCUAGCUAUGAAUUUUCCCUUGAGCAUUAUUGAGGUAUAUAGUUAUGGAUUUCUGGAAUCAGCUCAAAUUGCACGAUUCAUCAAAACUAACUCUUCCAAAUACUAGGUCAAAAUCAAAGAUCUUACAUGCUUGGUUUUGAUCAAAAGAUGAGUGUGCUUGUUGUGUCGACUCCCUACUAUUGGCUGCUCUGUUGUGGCAUCUAAUCCUCUCUCACUGCUACUGUGGUUAUCGUAGCUGAUGCUUUGCUCUCAUUGGUUUUUAGCUUUCAAUUUGUCAUGAAAAUUUUUAAAUAGGUUUGUGAAUUUAUUGAAUUAGUUUAUAAAUUUAUGGUUUGUAAUUUUGUUGAUUUAGUUUAUCGAUUUUAAUGAUUUUAUUUUUCUGAUUUUGUCAUGCGUCUUGAUAAAAUUGAAGGUAAUGAUUAAUGAAUGAGAGGAACUACUUAACUAAAGAUUGAGUGAGGGCUGGGAGAGUUUGUCUCUACCUCCCCGCCUCUGGGCGGGACUGCAAAUAGUCUCUAGGUUGUGUUGUUUUGUUUCCAAAUCAAGGAUGGAUUGGAGAGGAGCAUUUGUGGAUCUACUUUGGACUUGCUGGACAGGACUAGUCAUGUAGCUUGUGCUUGUUUGGUUGGAGUCGUCUUGCAAGUGAAAUGCAAUGGCUGUGUGGAUUUCAAAUUUGGUUCUGAUAAAUGUCUAAUAUUGCAUAUAAGGGGAACAAAGUCUGUAAUUUGGUAUGGUUAAUGU